GUGAGGAAUAUUGCGCAAUGGAGGCAACUCUGACGCAGCCAUGCCGCGUGCAGGAAGAAGGCGCUACGCGUUGUAAACUGCUUUUAACCGGGAAGAAACCCCAGGACGUGUCCUGGGUUGACGGUACCGGAGGAAUAAGCACCGGCUAACUUCGUGCCAGCAGCCGCGGUAAUACGAAGGGUGCAAGCGUUAUCCGGAUUCAUUGGGUUGAAAGGGUGCGUAGGCGGAGCGUUAAGUCAGGGGUGAAAUCCUGCAGCUUAACUGUAGACUUGCCAUUGAUACUGGCGCUCUUGAGUGCGCUUGAAGUGGGCGGAAUGUGCCGUGUAGCGGUGAAAUGCUUAGAUAUGGCACAGAACACCAAUUGCGAAGGCAGCUCACUAAGGCGAUACUGACGCUGAGGCACGAAAGCGUGGGGAUCGAACAGGAUUAGAUACCCUUGUAGUCC
rnacentral:rRNA from 1 species